rnacentral:lncRNA from 1 species
UUUGUCAGGAUUCCAGAAUGGUUAGAGUAACAAAGUUCCCUGUCUAUUUUGUUUAGACCAUCAAUGACAACACAAUGGAGAUAAAAUUAUUUUUUCCAUAACAAUAUUUUCACACACAUGAUUUUCUUAAAUUGAAGAUGUGCCUUCGAAUUUCUUCAACCUUCCCUGAGCUGCAAUUUAGAAUAUCAAUGUGGAAAUAGAUACUAGAAAUUUGAGGAUCAUAAGUUAUCACAAUUUCGAGAGAUAUGUACAGUGAAAAACAAUGAAAAACGAGGGUGAAACCUGGUUGCGCAACUUCUUUGUCACCAAGAACGACGAAGCAUGCCCGUCUUGCAAGUCAUACAUACAAGAAGGGUUAUUAGGGUUUCCAAAAUUAGGGUUAUUAGGGUCUUACAAGAAGGGUUAUUAGGGUCUUGCAACUUCUUUUCACCUUCAAACUCUCGCCGAGUCAAACAUACAAGAAGGGUUAUUAGGGUUUCCAAAAUUUUGAGAGGGGAUUUAGGGGAGAAGAAGGAGGAUGUGCGGAU